CAGUAGCCGCGGGAACACGAAGGGUGCAAGCGUUAAUCGGAAUUACUGGGCGUAAAGCGUGCGUAGGCGGUGAGUUAAGUCUGCUGUGAAAUCCCCGGGCUCAACCUGGGAAUGGCAGUGGAUACUGGCUCGCUAGAGUGUGUCAGAGGAUGGUGGAAUUCCCGGUGUAGCGGUGAAAUGCGUAGAGAUCGGGAGGAACACCAGUGGCGAAGGCGGCCAUCUGGGACAACACUGACGCUGAGGCGCGAAAGCGUGGGGAGCAAACAGGAUUAGAUACCCCGGUAGUCCCUGUCUCUUAUAC
rnacentral:rRNA from 1 species